CUCGGUUGGGUUCUGCGCUGGGUUCUGGCUGGCCUCCUCCUGCGUGGCCUCCUCCUGCCUGGCUUGCCUUUGAUCCUGCCCGUUUUCUGAACCCAGUUCUCCAGGCUUCCCCGAUAGUUUGAGUUCAGUGCACAGUCUCUGCUUGAAUCAGCCAGGGUCAGUGUCUUUUGCCGAUGAACACGCCGGUGAAUGAUGGGUGCAGGAGAUCUCUCCAGGAAGUGACUGUGCGCUCGUGAGGUCUUCCGUUUGUUGAGGAGGGCUGAGCCCUGUGGCGUGGGGGGUGAGCUCUGGGGCCUAAAUGGGCUCCUUUGCUUUGUCUUUUUCUCUUCAAGUUCUGCAGGGUUGGUGACGGCAUUGGACCUUCCAGAUUUCCCAGUGAAACUCAACUCACGUGUUUGCUGUUGGUGCCGUCAUGUCUACGUUGACGCCGUUUCCUUAAUGGAACCAUGCCCUGGAAUCACCGUCGUUGGGCCAAAGUGCCCCACUGCAAACAAGGACAGGCUUGACCAGAGUGCCCAGGCGUGGAGGGGGCAGCCUGGGUCACCCACACUAGUGGUGUAGAAAGGAGCUGCUGUCAAAUCCUCAGAUGGAAACAGUGGAAGUGACUUCAAAAGCAAACUAUUUUGCCUCAGAAAAGGUAUAAGAGGUGGCAACAUUUUGCUACAAAAUCCUGCCUGUAAUUUCAAUUCAUAUGGAAACAGGAAACAAGGAGAUGGGUGAAGCUCUUUAGGAGAACCCCUGUGGAGCCCCAUGAAGAUACUGGGGC
rnacentral:lncRNA from 1 species